rnacentral:tRNA from 1 species
GGUGAAGUGUCCGAGUGGCUUAAGGAGCACGCCUGGAAAGUGUGUAAACGUUUAUAGCGUUUCGAGGGUUCGAAUCCCUCUUUCACCG